CCAAUAGCGUAUAUUAAAGUUGUUGCAGUUAAAAAGCUCGUAGUUGAAUUUCGGGAUUAGUACGUUGGUCGUGCCUUAGGUACGUACUGGUGUUACUGGUUCCUACCUUCUGACGAACCAUCAUGUCAUUAAUUUGGUGUGGCGGGGAAUCAGGACUGUUACUUUGAAAAAAUUAGAGUGUUUAAAGCAGGCUCGCGCUUGAAUACAUUAGCAUGGAAUAAUGAAAUAGGACGUUGACCCUAUUUUGUUGGUUUCUAGGAUUGACGUAAUGAUUAAUAGGGAUAGUUGGGGGCAUUAGUAUUCAAUUGUCAGAGGUGAAAUUCUUGGAUUUAUUGAAGACUAACUACUGCGAAAGCAUUUGCCAAGGAUGUUUUCAUUAAUCAAGAACGAAAGUUAGGGGAUCGAAGACGAUCAGAUACCGUCGUAGUCUUAACCAUAAACUAUGCCGACUAGGGAUCGGAUGAUGUUAAUUUUUUAAUGACUCAUUCGGCGCCUUACGG
rnacentral:rRNA from 1 species